CACGUGAAGGUAAGCUUUUGCUCUUCCCUGUUGCCUUCCUGUUUGUGGAAUCUGUUUCGUAUAUAAGGAACGCAAACUAUUUCUACUCUAACCGUUGAGUGAAUGUACCCUAUAUAACCAAUAUAGGAGCACUGCAGCAGCCAGGAGUGGUCCCUGUUGAGCCACUGCCCCGAAGCCCUCCAGCCACUGCACAGCCUGCAGCUGGCCCUGGCGGAGUGAGAACCAGCUACCAGCCCCGGGUGCAGCGCCGGUCUCGAGGCCCUCGCCGGUUGUCCCACCGGGACGCCUUGGUCGAACGGCUCGCGGAUGACUACGCCAGAACCGUCGCACAGAACGACGAGACAAACGAACUCCUUCAUGGUAUCCGCCAGGGCGUAGACCGGCUGGCUGCAGCUACUGAGCGGGUCGUGGCUGCUGUGGAGCGGCAGGCUGACCAAG